UAUAUUCGCGCGCUCUUUGCAGCUGCCUGAAUUCUUCCUUCCCCAGCAUCCCCCUCCGCCCGGUCACCCAGACGGCCUUCUCCAGCCUUGCCGAGCUUAAGACCCGUCCCUGCUCCUGACCAUCACCGUCACUGGGGUCACUGUGCUCGUGUUGGUCCUGAAGAGCAUGAACUCCAGGAGGAGAGAGCCAAUCACCUUACAGGACCCUGAAGCCAAGUACCCGCUGCCCUUGAUUGAGAAAGAGGUAAUGGGUCAGCCCUGUGGGUGGAAGGCAGUAAGUGGAUGAUGGCUGGGAUGGCAGGGCAUCCAGACAGUCAUCUCAUGGCCUCCAGUUCACUCCCCGCCGCCCUGUGUGUGUGUGUGU
rnacentral:lncRNA from 1 species